UACGUAGGGCGCAAGCGUUAUCCGGAAUUAUUGGGCGUAAAGAGCUCGUAGGCGGUCCGUCACGUCGGCUGUGAAAACCUGGGGCUCAACCCCGGGCCUGCAGCCGAUACGGGCGGACUAGAAUUCGGUAGGGGAGACUGGAAUUCCUGGUGUAGCGGUGAAAUGCGCAGAUAUCAGGAGGAACACCGGUGGCGAAGGCGGGUCUCUGGGCCGAUAUUGACGCUGAGGAGCGAAAGCGUGGGGAGCGAACAGG
rnacentral:rRNA from 1 species